AGCGAACGCUGGCGGCAGGCCUAACACAUGCAAGUCGAACGAACCUUUCGGGGUUAGUGGCGGACGGGUGAGUAACACGUGGGAACGUGCCUUUAGGUUCGGAAUAACCCAGGGAAACUUGUGCUAAUACCGAAUGUGCCCUUCGGGGGAAAGAUUAAUCGCCGUUAGAGCGGCCCGCGUCUGAUUAGCUAGUUGGUUGAGGUAAUGGCUCACCAAGGCGACGAUCAGUAGCUGGUCUGAGAGGAUGAUCAGCCACAUUGGGACUGAGACACGGCCCAAACUCCUACGGGAGGCAGCAGUGGGGAAUCUUGCGCAAUGGGCGAAAGCCUGACGCAGCCAUGCCGCGUGAAUGAUGAAGGUCUUAGGAUUGUAAAAUUCUUUCACCGGGGACGAUAAUGACGGUACCCGGAGAAGAAGCCCCGGCUAACUUCGUG
rnacentral:rRNA from 1 species